rnacentral:rRNA from 1 species
UUAUUGGACAAUGGGGGCAACCCUGAUCCAGCCAUGCCGCGUGUGUGAAGAAGGUCUUCGGCUUGUAAAGCUCUUUAAGUCGGGAGGAAGGUCUUUAGGCUAAUACCCUGCAGUUUUGACGGUACCAACAGAGUAAGCACCGGCUAACUCUGUGCCAGCAGCCGCGGUAAAACAGAGGGUGCAAGCGUUAAUCGGAAUUACUGGGCGUAAAGCGCGCGUAGGUGGUUCAGUAAGAUGGGUGUGAAAUCCCCGGGCUUAACCUGGGAACUGCUUUCAUAACUGCUGAGCUAGAGUACGGUAGAGGGUAGUGGAAUUUCCUGUGUAGCGGUGAAAUGCGUAGGUAUAGGAAGGAACACCAGUGGCGAAGGCGACUACCUGGACUGAUACUGACACUGAGGUGCGAAAGCGUGGGGAGCAAAC